rfam:Fructobacillus sp. EFB-N1 FEFB_c000018, whole genome shotgun sequence.
GGUUUUAUGCUAUAGUAUUUGUAUAGCAAACAAGCGUGGAUGGUGGCUAUCCUUUUUCAAAGGAGGUGGUGCGUAUGGUGUUAAAACCAACAAUCACAUUCUAAGAAAGGAGAUGCCAGGGUGUCGGUGACGAUUGCCUUACAAUUAAUGCUGGCUUUCGGAACUUUUGUUCUGAUAUUGCUGGGAUUAGU